CCUUACAUUGGAGGUCAAGGAGACAAGGUGGAGACUAGGAGAUAUGAAGGCCUGUGCAGUCAGUGUUGCAGAGAAACGAAGAAACUGUUUCCAGAAGAAAGGAGAGGUCAACUGCUAACAAGUCAAGUAAAAUGAGAACUGGGAAAUGAGUUGACAAGCACAAUUUGGCUGGCGUGAUCAGAGAAUGUUUAAGAGAUAAUGAAAAAUAAUAGUAUAUUCGUAUGCUGAGGAGAAGAAUCCAGUUGAAGGGGAAUACUGUGGCUUCAGGCAACAAGAGAGGAAAACUGCCUGAGCCACAUCCUUCAGCAAAAAGUCUUUGUCCAUGUUGAAGGGUCAGUUGUUAAAAUUAAUCAUAAAGAAAAUAAAGAAAAGAGACUGGAAGCUAUAUAUAAACUACACUCUGCAAUAUUUUUAAUCUAUAGAAUUUGUCAAAAAAACAGAUAUUGAGAAUUUAUAAUGGAGCAGAAUUUUCAAGCUGCCCGUCUACACUUUAAAAAAAAGAAAUGAGAUUCUAUUUCUAGCUGACCCAAAGUCAUGUCUGAGUCUUUAAGGAAAAAAAGAAAACCCUCAAGGAGAUGGUUUUAUUCUUCUUAAAUAUCGAGAAUGAAAAUCUAUACUGAACACUAAAACUGGAUGACUCUUUACCAUACUUCCAAAUAUGAAACACUUUAUUCAUUCUGCCUCCAAAUUCUACGCUCCAGAAUCCAACCAAUUCAGAGUGAGCUGUCCGAAGAUGAAUGGUUUUCUUAAGAUUUUCCAUGAACGCAUUCAUUUUUGAAGGUUUAAGGUUCCUAAAAAAACAGGAAGGCUAUUCAGGUCAAAGUAUUUCUUGAAUCCACUGACGAAGACUACUGGUCAAAAACAGGACUGGACUGUAACUAAUAUAAAAGGAAGCUAUGACUUAUCCAGUUGCAUUGUACUAUGGGCGUGUACAGCAUAAAGGCUGAAAAGGAAAAAAACUCAACAAAUCAGAAUUGUCUGCACCAUUGUUUCUAAUUACAGAUGCAAUAUCAAGAAGUAUGCACAUUUAGUGCACCCAAUUAUACCAAGUUUAUGGAACUAUCCUUUAAGACCACUCUUUGUAAUAGUCAUACACCAAAUAGGUAAAUUUUCUGUCCUAUUCUGGCCCUCUGAGCCUGAGUGAACUUAAUGUUCAGUAGCAAAUGCCCUGUCAGAAAUUAUCCAGAGUCUGUGUGUAUGUACAUGCAAAUAUUUAUGUAAACACACGUGGAUACACAGACCACUCCCGUGGCAUUCUAGUUUACAAAUCCAUUCAUUUAGAUAUGGUUAGCAUGUGACAACUUCCUGAGGCUCACUACCUAGAAUAAUGUAUCACAACAGUUUCAGUAGGCAUCUUUCACUGACAUAUUUUUGGUUACAACAUACAAAUGUCUAUGUAGUUUGUGUGCAUAACGUCUUAAUUAUAAUUGUCUAUCUUGAGUUCAUUCA